rnacentral:tRNA from 1 species
GCCUUUGUGGCGUAGUGGUCAGCACACUCGAUGCGUAUUCGAGAGGUCCGUGGUUCGAUUCCUGGCAAAGGCU